rnacentral:rRNA from 1 species
UACGUAGGGGGCAAGCGUUGUCCGGAUUUAUUGGGCGUAAAGAGCGUGUAGGCGGCUUGGUAGGUCCGCUGUGAAAACUCGAGGCUCAACCUCGAGACGCCGGUGGAAACCAUCAGGCUAGAGUCCGGAAGAGGCGAGUGGAAUUCCCGGUGUAGCGGUGAAAUGCGCAGAUAUCAGGAAGAACACCCGUGGCGAAGGCGGCUCUCUGGUACGUGACUGACGCUGAGACGCGAAAGCGUGGGAGAGCGAACAGG